UUUAACUGGCUCUAACUGUUGGUUAUUAAUGUAUUGAGAAAUGAAAAAAAAAUGUAAAACUAAUCUUUAUUUAUGGUACGCUGUAAUUUAAAACAUUAGAAACGUUAAAAACGAAAGUGUUCUAUUUCACUGUAACAAACCGAGAUCAGUUUGAACACUGCGUGCUCUCGUGUCUGUUUGUGGAUCUGCUUCCAACAUUUUCUCCUUUCCUCUUUCAGUGUUAUGAAAUAUUUCCAAGAGUUCAUUUAAUGUGAGGUUUUUGCUGGUGUCCCUCCCUCUGGGACAUCUCAUCCUUUUCAUGACAACCACUUCCUGCUUCAUGUUUAUAAAUUCGCCUUCACUCAGGCUGCACAUCCACGCCUCUGUGGGUCUGGGUCUGAGCGUGCCCUGCCUGAUCUCUCUAUGGCUCAUAUGCCAAUGUUUAAAAACAAAAAUGCUGAGACCAGGAGAGAGAAGUCAGUGGGGACAGGAGUACAGUGUGUAAGUAACCUCCCAGUGGAAAAAAACUGGAUUUUAAGGGCAGGAUGUCUGACCCAGACUCAGCUGCGCAGGGCUUUCCGGGUGCGCUGGCCCUGAUGAAGCAGGCAAGCAGCUCCAGCUUACUCUCUCCCCUGGUUAACACCCUUCCGGACACAAAUUCCCCACCUUCCGUUUGGUCACUCUGACUGGUGAUUGAUACUGUUGGGGAAAUAGAAUUGAAAACAAAAUCUCUUGCUAACCCAGAAAACCUCUCCACAAACAUAGAAGAUAAAACAGUUUUAUUAAGGGUUUAAGCAGCGUGGGAUGGACAUCACAGGCAGUCAGCUAGAGAGACUGUAAAAGCAGAGGGAACCCUCACCGUCUCAUGCAGGGCAGUUACAACGCACUACAGCCACGUUCUCAAGAUAAACAGUAACCAGUCCUCAGUAAGGGUGGUCAUUUUACAUCAUUCUGACCAAUGAUACAUGUGAUACGUGAUCAGAAGUCACUGGGUGGCAGAUGCAGCUGAAAUGUGCCACUGGCCCUUCUUCUUGUUUGGAAUACAGGGAGAAGAUCUUCACCAAGAUGGAAGUCAGAAGAUUCCUGUGUUCCAGAUUUAGCCGUGUUUGUCUUUGGAAUGUUUUAGUAAAUCCUCUCACAACUUCAGAAUGUUUUUCUUUCCCUCUGGAUAUGUGGUUUCACUUUAGCUUAGGGGAAUAGUCUAAAAGGAAAUUUUCAGGCUCUGAAUAUCGGUUCUUAAUUUGGCCAACUUCUGACCGUAAAGCUACUUUAAAAAUUGUUUCAAAUAUCUUGUCAGGUUUCAGUGAGGACAAACAGUAAAUACUCCUGGCAGUACUGAACAACGCCAUGGAUGCAAGAGGUGUCUCCAAAGAGGGUGCAGGAAACACUACUUUCCCAAGAUCCAGAGAUAACCAAAAGAAAGACAGACUUAGACAGUUCCUCUGAGAGCUGGCGACCGCUGGUUGAACCCUUGCUGUAAAUGGUGUGCAAGCCCACAUUUCUGUCCAGCCGUGUCUAGUUGCAAGUUGGGUGUCAGCCACAUUUCUGUCUGGCCAUAUUUUGGGGGCCCCCAACCUGAUGGUUGCCAAGUCAGGUUCUCAGGACAGAAAACAAGGCAAACACGAAAGCUGUCGCUGUCCCUGGGAGAGGAGGGCUAGACAGCCAAUGGGUACCCAAAGCAAAUUCACGAUUCAAAGAUCUAAUUCUUACAGAUGUUUUUUUACUGCCAAUCUGAAUUUGAAAAGAAAAGAACAUUGUGAAUUUUUUUCUCGACGAGGCACCACAGACAGAGAUCUGGGAGAGCUGACUUUGGAGAGAAUUCUUACCCUUUGCUGGCUUCUGCCAGUUUUCCCAAGAUUGCGUCUGCAGACUCUGGAGUGAGUAGAGGGUCCCAGCAGGUCUCAUCCUGGUCACUAGAAGUUUGUAGAGGAGGAAAAAUAAUUUUCCCUCUACUUUUUAUGGUGAGUUCUUGUCUGAGACCUCCUUUUCUCUAGGGCAUCUGGUAAACAGAUAAGCUUAUCUAGUUUAAGCGAUCUCCACCGUGGCCACUGUAAUUCGGGAUUAUCUUUGGUAAGGUUAACCUACUUCUUCAGCCUUAAGACAAAAUUUUAUUCACCUGAGGCCUCACAUUGGGCCCAGUCCAGUUUAAGUCAAACCCAAUCUAAUUGCAGACCCAGUCCAGUUUUUAAACUGGACCCAGUCCAAUGCUGGUUGUUUUCUGGACUCAGCCUGGAAAAGAAAAUGCUCAAGUAAAAUCUAAAAGCUCGAGACACAAAAGCUGCAGAGCUAGGACCCAAGAGGGACAUACCCACCACCUCCAGAGGCAGCAAGAAAGCAAAGAGCUCAAGGAGCUUAACAGGUACUCUGCCUGGUUGCUCAUUGCUCCUGGGAGCCGUUAGGGCUCUCCUUGAGUUCCCUCUUCUGACUCUAGAAUUGCCAAAAGAUAUACUGAGGCAUACUAAAACCUGUACGAGCUUAUUUGGGCAAAAAUUGAUUUGGGUUGAGCAGCAUCCAAUCUAGCAGAUAGAAAGGAGUUCUGAGUUGCUGUGCAGAAUGGAAGACUUUCAUAAGCAGAAGGGAGCUGGAACACAGGAAGUUAUACUAGGUUAAAAAGUGGGCUGGUUAUUUCAAGGUUACUUUCCUUUAGGGGAUCGCUGGGGUCUGUCAGGCAGAUGACCUAACUGAUGUUAAACAGGCUAUCCCUGAUUGACUGGUUUAAGAUUCCAUUCCUGGGAGAGCUGAAUCUGUGACUCAGUUUUGGUUUGGUGCCAUGGGGCUUAGCAUAAGCAGUGCCAUUUUGGGUCUUUUUUUUUUUUUUUUAAUAGGACCUUAUGGCCAGAUCAUCCCAUUUGAUUCCCAAAUCAAUGUCUCACUCAGAUUCUACUCCUAAACUUGAGCUCUGCAUGUGCAAAUAUCUUCAGGAUGUCCCUCCUUGGAAAUCCUCACCCUCACAAGGAGACGUGUUGCGGAUGAGGGCCCUGUGUGCUCAUCUCUUCCCAAAUCCUUGUGCUGUGGCAUCAUCUUGGUGGCUUGAAAGUGGCCAUGAUGCAGACUUUUUUUCCAUGAUCACUACUGCUACCUGGUACAGUCGUUACCGAGGCCUUGCUUAAGAAUUGCAACAGUGCAGUUUUAUGAUUAUUAACAAACGUACACACCUGUGUAGAAUCAAUAUAGAGAAUAUUACCAUUACCCCCAAAGGUUCCCUUGUGCCAUUUCUCAGUCAGUUCUGUCCCCCUCUCUGCCACCUACUGUGCUUUAUUAUUUUUAUAGUGUUUUUGUAUCAGCAGAACAAAGAUGAUCAGAAGGGACCAUGUUGGGCAGCUUUGGCUUGUUCCUACUGUUAAUUUCAGUAUUUCACCAUGU